AGCGAACGCUGGCGGCAGGCUUAACACAUGCAAGUCGAGCGGGCACUUUCGGGUGUCAGCGGCGGACGGGUGAGUAACGCGUGGGAACGUGCCCUCUGGUUCGGAAUAACUCAGGGAAACUUGAGCUAAUACCGGAUACGCCCUUUUGGGGAAAGGCUUGCUGCCGGAGGAUCGGCCCGCGUCUGAUUAGCUAGUUGGUGAGGUAACGGCUCACCAAGGCGACGAUCAGUAGCUGGUCUGAGAGGAUGAUCAGCCACACUGGGACUGAGACACGGCCCAGACUCCUACGGGAGGCAGCAGUAGGGAAUCUUCCGCAAUGGGCGAAAGCCUGACGGAGCAACGCCGCGUGAGUGAUGAAGGUCUUCGGAUCGUAAAACUCUGUUAUUAGGGAAGAACAUAUGUGUAAGUAACUGUGCACAUCUUGACGGUACCUAAUCAGAAAGCCACGGCUAACUACGUG
rnacentral:rRNA from 1 species